GACGAACGCUGGCGGCGUGCUUAACACAUGCAAGUCGAACGGAAAGGCCCUGCUUUUGUGGGGUGCUCGAGUGGCGAACGCGUGAGUAACACGUGAGUAACCUGCCCUUGACAUUGGGAGAACUUCAGGAAACUGGGGCGAAUACCCGAUAGGAGCUCCUGCUGCAUGGUGGGGGAUGGAAAGAUUCGGCGGUUGGGGAUGGACUCGCGGCUUAUCAGCUUGUUGGUGGGGUAGUGGCUUACCAAGGCUUCGACGGGUAGCCGGCCUGAGAGGGUGACCGGCCACAUUGGGACUGCGAUACGGCCCAGACGGCUACGGGAGGCAGCAGUGGGGAAUAUUGCACAGUGGGCGGAAGCCUGAUGCAGCAACGCCGCGUGCGGGAUGACGGCCUUCGGGUGGUAAACCGCUUUCGCCUGUGACGAAGCGUGAGUGACGGUAAUGGGUAAAGAAGCACCGGCUAACUACGUG
rnacentral:rRNA from 1 species